GCCUCUUCAUGGAGAUGGAGCCCCCGACCUCCCAAUGACCUCUAAAAAUUCACAUCCACUUUCAACAUGUUACCCUGGGGACCAGGCCACAAGCUGAGUCCUUGUGUGAACAGACCACACCCACAUAGCACACCAGUUACCAUUUUUAGUUGUUGUUUUUUUAAAACUAAAAACAACCACAUGAUUAUAAAUAAUCAUUUUGUUGCUUCUCUAAAAUUUGAAGCAAGAAGCUACUGAUGUAAAAACAAUUUAGAAUAUCCUUAUAUGUCCAAAUUUAGAAGAAUGUUUUUAAAAUCAUCUAUUACAUAUACUUACAUACUGAAUGUACAAUUAUGAAGUCAUGCAUAUGAAAAUUAUAACAUGAAAUGUUUUAUUAAAAUAUUACCCUGCAAUAUGACAUAAAUUUUAACUAUGCUGUAGCAGUGAAGUGAAGUAAAAUCAGAUGUAGAAAUGGUUGGAAAAUAAUAAACCAAAGUGUUAACUAAGGAUGUGGGAGUAAGUUCACUGAUUUUUUUUCCUUCACUUUUCUGUUUAUUUCUCAUGCUGAGAAUAUAUUACUAUUUUCUUUAGGAAACUUGUGUUUUAAGAAGAAAUCCUAUCAGCUGUUUCACAAUCAUAACAGGGACCUAAGAGAUGAGUAUUGGAAAAAAUCAGAAGAUACAAUAGAAGCAAGAGCCUUUUGAUAUUGUGGAAGUCAAAUGGGAAAGAACCAUCACACAGCUCAUAACCCAAGGAUGACUUUUAUCAAAACAACAACAACAACAGAGAAAAAAAACAGUCAGUGUUCAUGAGGAUGUUGGGAAAGGCAACCUUUGGACACGGAGGGAAUGCAGCCAUUCUGGAAAACACUUUAGAGAUUCCUCAAGAAAUUCAAGCUAGAGUUACCAUAUCCUCCAACAAGAGCACUUCUGUGUUUGCAUCCAAAGGAAUCAACAUUGGGAUGUCGGAGAGCUAUUUUUACUCCUGUACUCAUUGAAGCACUAUCUAUAGUAGCCAAAACAAAGAAGCAACCUGAAUGUCUGUUUACAGAUGAGUAAGUAAAAUGUUGUGUCUAUGUACAAUAAAUACUGCUCAGCCUUUAAAAAGAAGAAAAUCCUGCCAUGUGAAAUAAUGGGUGAACCUGGAAAAUGCGAUAUUAAAUGAAAGGAAUCAAAACACAAAAGGAAAGAUACCAUAUGGGACCACUAUAAAAGGAAACUGACAUCAUUAAACUUUUUUAAAAAAGCAUAGAAUAGUGGUUGCCAAGGGCUGGAGUAGGGGAAGAUAGAGCGCCAUUAGUCAAAGCGUACAAAGACCCAUGUACCAUGUACACUGGUUGGUAGAAACGCAAAUACUGAAUGAAAAUGCAAGAUAAACUAGUCUGAGAGAUCUGUGGCAUGGUGUUGUGUCUCUAGCUAUAUUACUGCAUUAUAUCCUUAGCCAUCUUCUGAGAAGAUAGAUAUUAAGUUAUAUUCUCUCUCUCUCUCUCUCUCUCACUCACACACACACGCACACACUCCUAAAUCGCCAGGAUACAAUUGUAACAGGAAACAUUGAAGGAAAUGGUAUGGUAUGGUUAUGGGUUGAUUGUGGCCAUAGCUUUUCAGGUGUACACAUCUUUCCAAAUUCAUCAAGGCGCAUACAGCACAGCUUUUAGAAAUGUCAAAUACACAUUAAUCAUUUAAAGAUAAUUUAAUUAGGAUGUUCUCUUCAGUACAAAAUUGCUACAUCAAAUUAUUUCAAUACACAUUUUCCCACUGCCUUCCCAAGUAAUUGUACCAACCUACAACCGUAAGAGAGAAAAGUCAGCAUACCACACCCAAGCAUGUUUAUUCAGUUACUGUAUCUGCAUACGGAACUGUGAGGAAGAGUUGCUGGCAGACAUCACUGACUUUCCACGAGUCGCAAAGGAUUUUUAAGUAUUUACCUAACUCCAUAGUUGUGUCCUAGAAAUUUAUCUUGUUACACAAAACAUUUCCAAAUAACCUAAAAAAACAUAUCCUACAUGUACCAACUGUAUGCAAAGCUUGGGAGCCCAAGGAACCCUUUAGAGAAACAGGACCUCUUAUACAGUUUGGAAUUCCUUAAAACGUUGACUAGGAGGGAAUGAAGAAGCCAUUUUGUUCCCACCUGCUCCCACUGGCAUGCUUCCCAUAGUGUUCCCAGCAGAAGGGGUGAACAUGUCAAUGCUUUCUUUGCAAAUGCUGUUGCUCUGUGUAUACUUUAAUAUGUAUACCUAAACUUUGUAGAAAUGCAAUUGAUCGGCAUGAUAUUCUGCCAGCUUUGCCUUCAGACCAGAGAUGGUCUCCGCAAGAAACUGUUGAAUUUACCUGGACAAUAA